GAACUAGAAAUUCAAGAAAAAGCUUCUAACUUUACUCUUAAGCGAUGAAAUUUCGUUUAUAGUUCU
rnacentral:tRNA from 1 species